AAGAGGAAAUAGUCUCCAAUCAAUAACUUAAACUCCCACCUCAAGAAACAAGAAAAAGAAGAGCAAAAUAAAUCCAAAGCAAGCAUAAGGAUGGAAAUAAUAAAGGAAAAAAAUCUUCCAUGUCCUUGAGCCAGUUACCAGAGAAGAGCAGAAAUCCAGGGAGGACAAGGGAUUGACCUGGGUAGUAUUGAGCUGGAAGGUAAAAGCAAUGAACAAAAAGAGGUUCAGAUUCCUUAUUUUGGAGCGACAGUGUCAACAAGAAACAUCUGCCAAACCACAAGGACCAUGUAGAAGCUGGUGUCCCAGGAGGAGAUCUUCAGCAUUUCACCCAUCUCCCCCAAUUAUUUCUCCUGGAAAGACUGAGGCAUUUAGCUUCUUGGACUUCUCUCCAUAUAAAUGGCCACUCAUGGGCCAACUAACUGUGUGGUGUUCAAGACAAACAAUAUACAUCAUGUAAUAAAGAAUCAUUCUCCCCUGAGGGAAUCUGAGACUAAUUGAAAGGUUACUGUGUAAUAGGCUCCAUUUUCUUAAUCAUAUCUUGUGUUUGUGCAAAUGUUAAAAAAAAAGCCUCCCACCAAUGUAUUUUUAUCCAAAUGCUGCUCAAUUCUAUUAUAAUAAUUUUAUUGUCCUAACAUCCCUGUGAAAUCAGUAAACCAGUGAUGGAACAAACAGCUCUGCGUUGGUUUGAAUCAGGCACUAUGUUCAGGUUCCCAAAUUAGAAGGAGCAGUGGUCAGAUUGUCUGAAGAGAUGGACACUGGCCGUGGCACUAACUGGUUAUCUAACCAUUGUCUAAUAAUGGUCCUCAUUUCCUCUUUUGUAAAUCAAGAGAUUGGAGAGACAAUUUGCAGAAGUUUUUUUCCACUUCUAAGAUUCAAUGAGUCAAAGUUUGGAGACUUAUUUCAGAGGCAACCAGCUAUGUACAAAAUAUAGCAUUACAAAAUAGAAAAUAUGUUGGCUUUGUAGCAAAAAUACUUGGGCCUGAAUCUUGGAUUUACCACUAACUAGUAGUGUUACUUUGGCCGAGUCACCCUCUCUAAUCCUCACCUUUCCUCUAUAAAAUGGAAAUAAAAAGC
rnacentral:lncRNA from 1 species